rnacentral:misc_RNA from 1 species
GAUGAAGAACGUAGCAAAAUGCGAUAAGUAGUGUGAAUUGCAGAAUUCAGUGAAUCAUCGAAUCUUUGAACGCACAUUGCGCCUCCUGGUAUUCCGGGAGGCAUGCCUGUUCGAGCGUCAUUAAAAUCACUCAAGCUUAGGUUUGCCUAUUGCUUGGUCUUGAAGAUGGAAGCUAAGUAAUUAGAAUCCUCUUCGAAAUCCAAUGGCGAAGACCCUUGCUCUCCCAAGUGUAGUAAUAACUUAUUCACUGAAGGAAGCGAGUAAUCUUCCGCCGUAACCCCCAUAUUUUCUAUGAUUGACCUCGGAUCAGGUAGGGAUACCCGCUGAACUUAAGCAUAUCAAUAAGCGGAGGA